UACAGAGGUCUCAAGCGUUGUUCGGAAUUACUGGGCGUAAAGGGCUCGUAGGCGGCCAACUAAGUCGGACGUGAAAUCCCUCGGCUUAACCGGAGAACUGCGUCCGAUACUGGAUGGCUUGAGUUCGGGAGAGGGAUGCGGAAUUCCAGGUGUAGCGGUGAAAUGCGUAGAUAUCUGGAGGAACACCGGUGGCGAAGGCGGCAUCCUGGACCGACACUGACGCUGAGGAGCGAAAGCCAGGGGAGCAAACGGG
rnacentral:rRNA from 1 species